CCAGAAUCGUCUUGGUUUCUUUCGAUGUUAGUUGUUUUUUUUUUCCCGAAUUCGAUGUUAGUUGUUCAUUUCUCGUAUUAGAUUCUCAUUCGUUACAUUGAGAAUUGAACUUUCCCAAUUACCAGUUUCUUUCUAGACUAGUCAAGUUCUUUUCAGUUUCACAAAUAAAUUCAUAGGUGCAGAAAAGGAAAGCCCUGGCAGCUUUGGCUUCAACAAUUUGCUCUUUCAUAAAUUUCAUAUACAUUCAGUUGAAGAAAAGAACAUGGGUCGUCCUCACCACCAUCACCAUGGAGAUGGAGACAGCCCUUAUGAUGAUCCAUUGUUAUCGUGUUGUUGCUGCCCCUGUUAUUUAGUCUCUUCAACUUUCAGAAGAAUCGGGAGAUGCAUCUUUGCGGCUUGUUUCCCUCUUCUGCAGUGUUUUGGAUUGGAUAACUGCCGUCACCACCACCACCACCACCACCACGUACAUCUUCACUGAGAGCAUCAAUUUAUGUUUAAGUAUUCUCCUGCCUUUUGUUCUACUUGUGUUGGCUCAAUUUAGAUCCUCAAUUGAAUUGAAGGGACUUGUUUUACAGUCAAACUCUAGCUAUAUGUUUCUCAAUUGAUGACAAGAAGAACUCUUUGUGAGCUGAAAGUAUGCCAAAUGGAAUUGUGCAUUGUUUAUCUCAGCCAUCAUACCCAAGUCACAUUAGUUGAUUUAAUUAUGUUUGAUCGAUUUACACUUUUUGUUUGUUAACAAAUAAAUGACCAUUUGGUUUGAAAUAAAUCAAAAUUUUAA